rnacentral:tRNA from 1 species
UAUUUCUGAUAGUUAAUUAUUCUAUUCCCUUAGAAUGAAAAUCUAAUGUGCUACUAAAAUACACCACAGAAAA